UACGUAGGGUGCGAGCGUUAAUCGGAAUUACUGGGCGUAAAGGGCGCGCAGGCGGCUUGGCAAGUCGAGUGUGAAAUACCUCAGCUUAACUGAGGAACGGCGCUCGAAACUACCUCGCUUGAGGGCGGGAGAGGGAAGUGGAACUCUCGGUGUAGGGGUGAAAUCUGUAGAUAUCGAGAGGAACACCGGUGGCGAAGGCGGCUUCCUGGCCCGUACCUGACGCUGAGGCGCGAAAGCGUGGGGAGCAAACAGG
rnacentral:rRNA from 1 species